UCUCCGUUGGUGAACCAGCGGAGGGAUCAUUACUGAGCGUAAAAACUCCCAAACCCCUGUGAACAUACCAUCUGUUGCUUCGGCGGGAUCGCCCCGGGCGCCUUUGCGUGCCCCGGAUCCAGGCGCCCGCCGGAGGACUCCAAACUCUUGUCUUAUAUGUGGCAUUAUCUGAGUGGCUUAUAGCAAAUAAAUCAAAACUUUCAACAAUGGAUCUCUUGGCUCUG
rnacentral:misc_RNA from 1 species